rnacentral:rRNA from 1 species
UUCUUCUUGAAUGAAUAAGAAGUAACCCCUGCCCAAUGAAAUUUAAAUGGCUGCAUAUUUUGCACUAAGGUAGCAUAAUCAUUUGUUUAUUAAUUAUAAACUAGAAUGAAGGGGGUAAUAAUUUUAAGCUUUAUUUAUACUAUCAUUUGAAUUUAAAUUUUCAUUAAAAAUGAUGAAUUAAUAUUUAAGGACAAGAAGACCCUAUAAAGCUUAAUUUUAUUAAAAAUUCUUUUAUUUUUUAUGAAAUUUUUUUGGGGCAAAAAAUUAUGAUAAUUAAUAUAAUAAUAAUAGGUUUUUAUAGAAAAAAUAAAUUCAUGAUCCAUUAUUAAUGAUUAUUUGAAUAAGUUACUUUAGGGAUAACAGGAUAAUUUUUAUUUAGGAGUUCUUAUCAAAAAUGAAGAUUAUUACCUCGAUGUUGAAUUAAUAUAUAAAUAAAAAGAAGAAUUUUUAUUGAUUUGACUGUUCGUCAAUUAAAAUAUUACA